UAAAACUGUUCUUGGGUAAGCAACGAUGUGGAUAUUUUGUUGCCAGCAGACCUGACCUAGGAGACGUUUUGAAGGCAGUCCGCUCGGCUGUUGGCAACUCAGAUACGCGCACUUGGUAAAAAGUAAUUUUGUAGACAAAUUAAAAAGACAGCAUACAUAUUUCAAAACUCUUUUCUUCUCCAAACUUGUUUAAAAGAAAAUACAUAAAACAAAAAUUACAAAACUAUUCUGAUUGGCUUAUAUAAAGGUGUCAUUUGUGUGACAAUAACAGAAAGGGAAUGGUAGGGAAGGAAGCUAUAUCAAAGCAAAGCUUCUCUAUGUUAUUAGGAAUAAGUUAAUAUUAGACUGAACGGGAAGGCUUUAAGUUAAGCUGUAUAUUAUAAUCUCUAGAAGAGCCACAAAAAAACUAAUUGAAAAAUUUACACAGUAAAUGAAACCAAACCAAACCAAACCAAAAAAGCAUUAAAGUGAUACAUUAGAAAACAUUUUUAACACA